GGGCUUGCUUCGGCAGCACACACACUAAAAUUGGAAUGAUAGAGAUCAGCAUGGCCCCUGCAUAAGGAUGGCAUGCAAAUUCAUGAAGCUUCCAUAUUUUUA
ensembl:snRNA LOC120102594 U6 spliceosomal RNA